GCCUUCUUAGUUCAGUGGCUAGAAUUUUCCACUAGUAGUUCGUGGCGUCUCGGCGUCGCAUUGCUAUGGAACGGUCACCCGUUCGAUUCGGGUAGAAGGCA